GACGAACGCUGGCGGCGUGCUUAACACAUGCAAGUCGAACGGAAAGGCCCUGCUUUUGUGGGGUGCUCGAGUGGCGACCGGGUGAGUAACACGUGAGUAACCUGUCCUUGACUUUGGGAUAACUUAAGGAAACUGGGGCUAAUACCGGAUAGGAGCUCCUGCUGUAUGGUGGGGGUUGGAAAGUUUCGGCGGUUGGGGAUGGACUCGCGGCUUAUCAGCUUGUUGGUGGGGUAGUGGCUUACCAAGGCUUUGACGCGUAGCCGGCCUGAGAGGGUGACCUGCCACAUUGGGACGGAGAUGAGGCACAGACUCCAACGGGACGCAGCAGAGCAGAAGAGUGCAUAAUGGACGGAAGCCUGAUGCAGCAACGCCGCGUGCGGGAUGACGGCCUUCGGGUUGUAUACCGCUUUCGCCUGUGACGAAGCGUGAGUGACGGUAAUGGGUAAAGAAGCACCGGCUAACUACGUG
rnacentral:rRNA from 1 species